rnacentral:rRNA from 1 species
CUACGGGCGGCACCAGUGAGGAAUAUUGCACAAUGGGGGGAACCCUGAUGCAGCAACGCCGCGUGGAGGAUGACGCAUUUCGGUGUGUAAACUCUUUUUAUAUGUCAAGAAAAUGACGGUAGCAUAUGAAUAAGCACCGGCUAACACCGUGCCAGCAGCCGCGGUAAUACGGAGGGUGCAAGCGUUACUCGGAAUCACUGGGCGUAAAGGACGCGUAGGCGGGUUGGAAAGUCAGGUGUGAAAUCCUACAGCUUAACUGUAGAACUGCACUUGAAACUUCUAAUCUAGAGUAUGGGAGGGGGAGAUGGAAUUAGUGGUGUAGGGGUAAAAUCCGUAGAUAUCACUAGGAAUACCUAAAGCGAAGGCGAUCUCCUGGAACAUUACUGACGCUAAGGCGUGAAAGCGUGGGGAGCAAACAGGAUUAGAUACCCUAGUAGUC